CUAGUAUGUGCUGCUUACUUUGUAAUUAACAUGAAUGUUCAAUGCCAGUCUUUGGGAAAAAAAAAAAAAAAGUUUGAAAAAUGAUUUUCUCACAUUCAGGAAACACUUCUGGCAGCGAGAAUUUCCUGAGAGCGAAUCGAGAGGAUGGCUGCGGUGAACGCCGGCCCAGAAUGCACCACAGGAAGUGUCUGCGAGACUCCAGAAGCAAAGGUCAAGGCCAGGGGUCAACGGGUGGCACAGCAGAGAUUUAUGCCGAGAGCAAACCCAGCCCGUUCCCAGCCUUCAUCCAUUUCCCGGGGAAAUUAGCCAUAAAGUCUCCGUUUUCAUCUUUCAAGAGCCGCAGGGGCGGUGAGGAGGAUGUUGUCGCUGACUUUUGA
ensembl:lncRNA